rnacentral:rRNA from 1 species
AUGUUCUCUUCCAAGAAGGCCACUAGCAGCAGCGCUGGCGCGGUGGCGGUGCAGGGGGGCGGGGCGCCCAUGUGCGUGCAGGGCGACUCGGGCCUCGUCCUCACCACCGACCCCAAGCCGCGCCUCCGGUGGACGGUGGAGCUCCAUGAGCGCUUCGUCGACGCCGUCGCCCAGCUCGGCGGCCCCGACAAGGCGACGCCGAAGACGAUCAUGAGGGUCAUGGGGGUCAAGGGGCUCACUCUCUACCACCUCAAGAGCCACCUUCAGGUGCGUCCGGCCAUGUGUGUGUUGUUGCACCCUCUAAUUAGGAAAUUCAGGCUGGGAAAGCAGCCACACAAGGACUUCAACGAUCAUGCAGUUAAGGAUGCUGCGGCAGCAAUGGAGAUGCAUAGAAACGCGGCCUCUUCUUCAGGCAUAAUGGGGAGAAACAUGAACGACCGCAACGUGCACAUGAACGAGGCCAUCAGAAUGCAAAUGGAGGUUCAAAGGAGGCUGCAUGAGCAACUAGAGGUGCAGAAGCACCUCCAAAUGAGGAUUGAAGCCCAGGGAAAGUACAUGCAGUCCAUCCUGGAGAAAGCAUACCAGACGCUUGCCACCGGCGACGUCGCGGCGAGCCCUACUGCCGGGUACAAAUCCCUAGGCAGCCACGCCGGCGUCCUGGACGUGUGCUCCAUCAAGGACAUUGGCCCGGCUUCCAUGGGCUUCCCUUCCCUGCAGGACCUGCACCUCUACGGAGGCGGUCACUUAGACCUGCAGCAGCAGCAGCCAAUGGAGAGCUUCUUCGCGUGCAGCGAUGGCGGCGGCAUUGGGUCGUUGGGGAAGAAGAGGUCCAACCAGUACGCCGGAGGCAAGAGCCCUAUGAUGUGGGGUGACGACGACGACGGCGACGAGGAUGACAAGGGCGAUCAGCUACUCCAGAUGGCACCGCCGAUGAUGGACGACAUAGACUCCAUGUACGAAGCGAAGCCGAUGAUGACCAUGUCCGGCGACUCCGCUGGUAACAGAGGAUUCGACGGCGGCAUGGGGUCGAAGCUCGAGAGGCCGUCCCCCCGGCGGCCGCACAUGGGAGCCCAGAGGAUGGGCAGCCCGUCGGUGAUCUACGGGUAA